GUAUCAUGGCUCAGGACGAACGCUGGCGGCGCGCCUAACACAUGCAAGUCGAACGAGCGAGAGAGAGCUUGCUUUCUUCGAGCGAGUGGCGAACGGGUGAGUAACGCGUGAGGAACCUGCCUCAAAGAGGGGACAACAGUUGGAAACGACUGCUAAUACCGCAUAAGCCCACGACCCGGCAUCGGGUAGAGGGAAAAGGAGCAAUCCGCUUUGAGAUGGCCUCGCGUCCGAUUAGCUAGUUGG
rnacentral:rRNA from 1 species